GUUGAAGAGUCUGAAUUUUAGGUGGUAAACUGUAAAUUUAUCUAUGGAUAUAUAUUCCCUUCAAUA
rnacentral:tRNA from 1 species